GCAAAGGUCUUUCUUAAGACCAGCAAUGGAGAUAAAAAAUGUAAA
rfam:Mus musculus chromosome 4 genomic contig, GRC reference assembly alternate locus group NOD/MrkTac.